rnacentral:lncRNA from 1 species
UUCUCCAUUAUUACUGUUUAUUGCAAGCACUUUUGGGUUAAUGGUUUCGUUUCCAUGUUUGCCUGUUUAUCACAAGUUUGCCUGUUUUGCACAUGAAGGUUAUAUCCCCAUGUUUCAUGCAUGAAUAUGUUCUCUCUCUGAUCUUCAGCCCAAUCACAAGCUAAGUGUGUCCUUAAUACAAUAAUAAUAAUAAUAAUAAUGACUUUAUUUACCCACGGUGCUAUUUCACAAUAAAGUUAAAAAUAUUUACAAAAUGAGAAGUGAUCUUCCAAUAGGCCGUGCACAUGCAUAUUUACAAAAAGUAUUACUUACUAACUGAUAUAGCAAAAGAUGAGAGUUAAAAAGUAUCACACUAAAUUAUUUGGUACUAAAUUUCUUUUAAAUGUUGUAUAUGAAUGCAAGCUUUUUAAAUUAGUCGGUAAUUUGCUCCAAGCCACAGCACCUCAAAAUGAAAAUGAUUUUUUACAAAAGUUCGUAUUUGGUUUCGGGGGCACAAA